UUUUAGCAGCAAAGUCUUAGCAGUGGGAGCUGAGACAAAACAGGAUUAAGUGAACCUGCAGCAGCCACUGGGAUUUUAAGAGAUUUGUUUCUGCCUGGAAGAUUUGGCUUAUGGUCUGGAUGCCAAUAAUUUAAGAGAGUCAAUCAUGGUCACAAAUCAGGUAAAAAGGUGAGGACUUAGCUAAUGCAUUCCACCUGCCAGAGUCAGCAGGGGAACUCCAGAGACAAGCUUCAAGCUGCUCUCAAACGGCUUCUAGUAAGACAUCUAUUGAAUUGAUAAACA